UUAAGUUCAGCGGGUAGUCCUACCCGAUUUGAGAUCAAGAAAGGUUUGGAAAAGGGCGCAUAUAUGCACUCAAAUCCUAUUGUCCACAAGUGUGGGACGGUUAGAAGCAAGCCCAACGAGAACCAAAGUCGACGCAGAUAGACUAUCACGUCAAGAGACGGUUCAGCACAGGGAAGUCUCGCUAAUGGAUUUAAAGGGGC
rnacentral:misc_RNA from 1 species